GCAGCUGGGCUGCUUCUCCUGGGCUUCCUUCUAGGUCCAGCAACUGAUGCAGCCACCAACGUGUUGAAGGAUAACACAGGAAACAAGCUCUUGCCCAGACCCUGGCUUUCUGUUGAGCCCGUGUCCUGGAUCACACCUGGCCUGAGCACAU